rnacentral:lncRNA from 12 species
UUUGUUCUCAGUUGAAACAAAAUGCUUUGUGGGAUUAUUAAACACUGCUCUGUGAACUUUGAAUUUCAAACAAGAGUUGGGUUCAAAAGUGUCCCAAUGGACUGAAGAGAUGGAGGAGACACUGGGGACCCCUGUGUGACCUUGAACGAGUCUCUGCAGCGUUCAACAUUCCAGCUUGUCCCUUGAUUCGUGUGAUGAGGCACAGGCCGGGAGUGGAGUGGGGAGAGCCAGAAACAGCAGGAAGCGUGGUCUGGCUGAAAGGGGUGCUAGGACUUGUCCUCUCCUUGCAUAAAGCUCUGGCUGAUUUGCAUAUGCAAAUGAGAAUGGAAACUCUGACAUUUAAGGAGCACUCCAAUGAAAAAUGUCC